rnacentral:rRNA from 1 species
AAGCCAAGCUUGCUUGGUGGAUCAGUGGCGAACGGGUGAGUAACACGUGAGCAACCUGCCCUGGACUCUGGGAUAAGCGCUGGAAACGGCGUCUAAUACUGGAUAUGAGCUCUCAUCGCAUGGUGGGGGUUGGAAAGAUUUUUUGGUCUGGGAUGGGCUCGCGGCCUAUCAGCUUGUUGGUGAGGUAAUGGCUCACCAAGGCGUCGACGGGUAGCCGGCCUGAGAGGGUGACCGGCCACACUGGGACUGAGACACGGCCCAGACUCCUACGGGAGGCAGCAGUGGGGAAUAUUGCACAAUGGGCGGAAGCCUGAUGCAGCAACGCCGCGUGAGGGAUGACGGCCUUCGGGUUGUAAACCUCUUUUAGCAGGGAAGAAGCGAGAGUGACGGUACCUGCAGAAAAAGCGCCGGCUAACUACGUGCCAGCAGCCGCGGUAAUACGUAGGGCGCAAGCGUUAUCCGGAAUUAUUGGGCGUAAAGAGCUCGUAGGCGGUUUGUCGCGUCUGCUGUGAAAUCCCGAGGCUCAACCUCGGGCCUGCAGUGGGUACGGGCAGACUAGAGUGCGGUAGGGGAGAUUGGAAUUCCUGGUGUAGCGGUGGAAUGCGCAGAUAUCAGGAGGAACACCGAUGGCGAAGGCAGAUCUCUGGGCCGUAACUGACGCUGAGGAGCGAAAGGGUGGGGAGCAAACAGGCUUAGAUACCCUGGUAGUCCACCCCGUAAACGUUGGGAACUAGUUGUGGGGACCAUUCCACGGUUUCCGUGACGCAGCUAACGCAUUAAGUUCCCCGCCUGGGGAGUACGGCCGCAAGGCUAAAACUCAAAGGAAUUGACGGGGACCCGCACAAGCGGCGGAGCAUGCGGAUUAAUUCGAUGCAACGCGAAGAACCUUACCAAGGCUUGACAUACACCAGAACACCGUAGAAAUACGGGACUCUUUGGACACUGGUGAACAGGUGGUGCAUGGUUGUCGUCAGCUCGUGUCGUGA